rnacentral:rRNA from 1 species
CGCGAAUUCGCCCUUCGGGGUGCACCAGGCGCGAAAACUUUACAAUGCCGGCAACGGCGAUAAGGGAACCUCGAGUGCCAGGUUACAAAUCUGGCUGUCGUGAUGCCUAAAAAGCAUUGCAUAGCAAGGGCCGGGCAAGACCGGUGCCAGCCGCCGCGGUAACACCGGCGGCUCGAGUGGUAACCGUUAUUAUUGGGUCUAAAGGGUCUGUAGCCGGCCGGAUAAGUCUCUUGGGAAAUCUGGCAGCUUAACUGUCAGGCUUUCAGGAGAUACUGUCUGGCUCGAGGCCGGGAGAGGUGAGAGGUACUUCAGGGGUAGGGGUGAAAUCUUGUAAUCCUUGAAGGACCACCAGUGGCGAAGGCGUCUCACCAGAACGGACCUGACGGCAAGGGACGAAAGCUAGGGGCACGAACCGGAUUAGAUACCCGGGUAGUCCUAGCCGUAAACGAUACUCGCUAGGUGUCGGCCACGGUGCGACCGUGGUCGGUGCCGUAGGGAAGCCGUGAAGCGAGCCACCUGGGAAGUACGGCCGCAAGGCUGAAACUUAAAGGAAUUGGCGGGGGAGCAC